rnacentral:lncRNA from 1 species
AGGUGAAUUAUGUGGGCUGUGACCUGUGUCUUUUUUGUUAACGGCUACAUCCAUAGCACCUAGAACUGCCGUGGGUCUUAACUGCGUGGAGUGGAUUAAAGAGCCAGCUUUCACAAUCUGUUCAUGCAGCCAACGACUGAUAUAACACCACCCCUUAUGACCAGAGUCUUUAGAAGAAGAAGGGCAUUUGGACACAGACACAAGAAAGGACGCUUGUGAGACUUGUGUGAGGUGUAGCUCUGUUGAAGGAAAGAUGUGCCGUUUGUUGGCGAAAUCUUGUAAACAAAAUACUUCCAAGAUAGUGGAGGAGAGAAAGAGGCCGUGUCUCUUUCUUUGAUCGUGAUCUUGACUGAGGAACCUAUGACCAAGCAUUGUACAAAACAUGCGAGUGUUCUCUGGCUGCUGGCUGGGAAACAAUUAACUACCUUGUGUGGUUUCGAGACCCUCCGCUCUUGGAGAGCUGAGGCCCCUUUGACUUGAUGUUGGAGAAGUGGGAGUCACUCCAGACUGCCAGGAACAAACCAUUACUAGCAAGCCAGGUGAAAAAAAUAUCCACGUUGGCUGACAGGCAGGAUUGGGAGCUGUCAGUCUGGGGCUCACAGAACAAUAAUUAUUUCCAUCACAAAGACCAGCUGCCAGUAGACUCCUUGGAACUGGAUCAGCCUCUUGAACUGGGAGGUGCCUGCAUGUGGUGCCCCAACUUCCAUCUGUCUUUCCAGCAUGUGUCAGUUUUCAGUGGCCAUUUUUCUGCUCCUGGUCUUCUCGUCCCCCACUUCCUGCCGUUCUCAGUGUUCCCUUCAAAGAAUACCCUCUUUCUCUUAUACUCCAAUCUUGCUUUUCCUUCAAGAAUCAGACUGGCCACUAUCAUUAAGCCUUUCGCCAUCAGCUCCCUCUUCAUUUUUCAGUUCCCAUGGCACUAACGGUCUAACUAGAGUUCUUCAGCUACUGAAUGUGUCCAUCCGGAGUGGCCUGGGCCUUGCUAGAAAUGUGGGAAGGGGUGUGCCUAAGCCUGCAGUCUUGAUGCACCAGGGUAGGGGAUACCCAUGGUGUGGGGAUACCCAGGGUGGGGCCCCAUUCUCUCAGAAGGGAAGAGGAGGAGGGCAGGGGAGGGACUCUGUGUGUGUGUGGGACUGAGAGGGAGGGACAAUGUCUGGGAAGUAAAUUAAUUAAUAAAAAGAAAAGCAGACUCUUGGAGCUGGAGGUGGAGCCUAGUGAUGGAGUCUGUGUUUAGCCAUGUGUGGGCCUCUGAAGAUGAUGAGGGGGAAGGGAGGACGGGGAAGGAGGGAAGAAGGCAGCAAGGAGAAAAGGUCAGGAAAUGCAGAUUCUAAACAGGUUGCCAAUUACUAUAAUUUGCAUUGGAUUCACUUGGUCCAGCCUUCAACAGCCUUGGCAGGUAGUUAUGAGGGGCGACUAAAGGCUAGAAGCUCUGCUCUGCAGCCCUGCUGCUCCGGUGCCUGGUGACCAGACCAGACCAGCAGUCCCGAACCUGGACCUGGUUCCUGGACCUUUGGAGAGUUGAAGAUCUAGGCCCCACCUCAAAGCAGCUGAAAGUGACUUCCUUGAGUGUGGGGCCCAUCGAGGAAAACAAACAAACUCCAAGGAGCUUCAUCUGCACCCAAGAGUGAGAACCACUGAUCUAAUUAGCAUCUAAUUAGCAUCCGAUUAUGCCUUCUCAUUCUGCAGUAGGUAUUUGUCUCUCCCACAAGGUGGGACCGGAGGGCAAGAGACCAGUUGGUUGUGGCUGGGUGCUGACCCUCUUCUAAGCCCCUGGAGACAGAUGUCCUAGGAUCACUGGUGAGCUUCGGAUUCCUUUCCCAGUUCUGAAAAGCACGUGGGUGGUGGGGAGGAGGGGAAGGGAGCAGGGAGAGGACGUUUCUCCUGGGUCUUGGGUUGAGUCUUGAGGGGUGGUAUGCUCCCAUUCUUAAGUCAGAAGUCAUCCUUACCAUGUAGUUUUGUUAUCUUGUCUCACCAGCCUGACUUGAAUCAAAACUUGGUCUCUAACAGUUUUUUUUUUUUUUUCCUUUUGGUGGGUUUCCUCCCUGGAAAAAAGGUCACAUUUUUCUUUUGCUAUUAAAAUAAAGCAAUGCUGGCUCACUUGCUUUUUCUGGAUCAAUAGGUCUUUCAUCUGGGCAGUGGCCGAGCUGGCUCCUGGGCCCCACAGUAUCACUGAGAAGGAAUCUCAGACAUGACUAAUGUAUAGCCUCCUCGGCUUCCUACCCAUGAGCUCUCAUAAAUCGCUGCUGUGUUCCAUCAGCCUCAAUUCCCCGGCAGAGCGGAGUCCCAGGCUGGGGAGCAGCCUGCCCCUGCCCAAGAACUCGUCCUUCUCCGGCUGUCUGCUAGCCUCCU